CCUACGGGUGGCAGCAGUAGGGAAUUUUCGUCAAUGGGCGCAAGCCUGAACGAGCAAUGCCGCGUGAACGAGGAAGGUCUUCGGAUCGUUAAGUUCUGUUGAAGGGGAAAUAGAGCGGAGAGAGGAAAUGAACUCCGAUUGAUAUUACCCUUCGAGGAAGUCACGGUUAACUACGUGCCAGCAGCCGCGGUAAUACGUAGGUGGCGAGCGUUAUCCGGAUUGAUUGGGCGUAAAGGGUGCGUAGGCGGGCUGCUAAGUCUGGAGUGAAAGGUACCGGCUCAACCGGUACAGGCUCUGGUAACUGGCGGGCUAGAGGGCAGGAGAGGGCGGUGGAACUGCAUGGGUAGCGGUAAAAAGCGU
rnacentral:rRNA from 1 species